UACGAAGGGGGCUAGCGUUGCUCGGAAUUACUGGGCGUAAAGCGCACGUAGGCGGAUCGCUAAGUCAGGGGUGAAAUCCUGGAGCUCAACUCCAGAACUGCCUUUGAUACUGGCAAUCUCGAGUCCGGGAGAGGUGAGUGGAACUGCGAGUGUAGAGGUGAAAUUCGUAGAUAUUCGCAAGAACACCAGUGGCGAAGGCGGCUCACUGGCCCGGUACUGACGCUGAGGUGCGAAAGCGUGGGGAGCAAACAGG
rnacentral:rRNA from 1 species